rnacentral:rRNA from 1 species
UACGUAGGGUGCAAGCGUUAAUCGGAAUUACUGGGCGUAAAGCGUGCGCAGGCGGUUCGCUAAGACCGAUGUGAAAUCCCCGGGCUUAACCUGGGAACUGCAUUGGUGACUGGCGAGCUAGAGUGUGGCAGAGGGGGGUAGAAUUCCACGUGUAGCAGUGAAAUGCGUAGAGAUGUGGAGGAAUACCGAUGGCGAAGGCAGCCCCCUGGGCUAACACUGACGCUCAUGCACGAAAGCGUGGGGAGCAAACAGG